rnacentral:rRNA from 1 species
CCUANGGGGGGCAGCAGUGGGGAAUUUUGCACAAUGGGGGAAACCCUGAUGCAGCAACGCCGCGUGGAGGAUGAAGUCCCUUGGGACGUAAACUCCUUUCGACCGGGACGAUAAUGACGGUACCGGUGGAAGAAGCCCCGGCUAACUCCGUGCCAGCAGCCGCGGUAAUACGGGGGGGGCAAGCGUUGUUCGGAAUCAUUGGGCGUAAAGGGCGCGUAGGCGGUGCGGUAAGUCUUCUGUGAAACCUCUGGGCUCAACCCAGAGCCUGCAGGGGAAACUGCCGUGCUGGAGUAUGGGAGAGGUGCGUGGAAUUCCCGGUGUAGCGGUGAAAUGCGUAGAGAUCGGGGGGAACACCUGCGGCGAAGGCGGCGCACUGGACCAUUACUGACGCUGAGAGCGCGAAAGCUAGGGGAGCAAACAGGAUUAGAUACCCCUNUANUC